UACGUAGGGUGCGAGCGUUAAUCGGAAUUACUGGGCGUAAAGCGUGCGCAGGCGGUUUUGUAAGACAGAUGUGAAAUCCCCGGGCUCAACCUGGGAACUGCGUUUGUGACUGCAAGACUCGAGUGCGGCAGAGGGGGGUGGAAUUCCACGUGUAGCAGUGAAAUGCGUAGAGAUGUGGAGGAACACCGAUGGCGAAGGCAGCCCCCCUGGGUCGACACUGACGCUCAUGCACGAAAGCGUGGGGAGCAAACAGG
rnacentral:rRNA from 1 species